rnacentral:rRNA from 1 species
AGCAGCCAUGGUAAUUCCAGCUCCAAUAGCAUAUAUUGAAGUUGUUGCAGUUAAAAAGCUCGUAGUUAAAUUUUGGGAUCAAUCUAUCGGUCGUGCAAUAGUACAUACUGAUUUUAUUGAUUCCUCCCUUCUGAUGAACUAUGAUGUCAUUAAUUUGGUGUCAUAGGGAAUCAGAACUGUUACUUUGAAAAAUUAGGGUGUUUAAAGCAGGCUCACGCUUGAAUACAUUAGCAUGGAAUAACGAAAUAGGACGUUUGAUUCUAUUUUGUUGGUUUCUAAGAUCGAUAUAAUGAUUAAUAGGGAUAGUUGGGGCAUUAGUAUUCAAUUGUCAGAGGUGAAAUUCUUGGAUUUAUUGAAGACUAACUAUUGCGAAAGCAUUUGCCAAGGAUGUUUUCAUUAAUCAAGAACAAAAGUUAGAGGAUCGAAGACGAUCAGAUACUGUCGUAGUCUUAACAUAAACUAUGUCGACUAGGGAUCAGAUGAUGUUUU